GAACAGCGUUACCACAGCAUUCAGGUUAUUCCAUUGGAAAACAUGCAACACAUUUAGCUUCCCUUCUUCCCUGCAGGUCAGCUCUGAUUCCAGCUUGGGCUCAGUUUGGGCCUGGACUUGUUUAAGGAGCUCAAACAGAAGGUCUGUGUUCUCCUCUUUUUCUUCCUUCAUAACUGAGCUCUGCUUAUGGUCAAUAAUUAGGUCACACAUUUAAAUAUUAAGCUUUAAUCAUUUAUUUUAAUAAGUGGGAAACCUUAUUGAACCAGCUUUUUAUUUAUCAUCUUUUAUUCCCAGCUUUGAGGAACCCUUCAGUGGUCGUGAAUACUUUUGUCUCAGCGUCCGACUGAUCUGGACUCUGCUUCCUGUUCUGAGAUGUUUCGUUUAGUGAUCUGAGCAGCUGCAGAACACUGUGAGCUUCCACGUGUUUCAGGAGGAUUUUGCAGUUUUUACAGAGCUGGACUCAUCAGACACUCAGACCUGCUGGAGGAGGUGAAGCAGGCUAGAGGGUGGGGCUUACCUGUCCUAUAUGAGGACGGCAGGAUGAUGCUCACUUUGACCCCCCAGGGUUGCAGCUCGUGCCUCAGGCUCUCAGUGAAGAGAUUCAAAGCCGCUUUGGAUGAACCGUACGCUGCCAGGCAUGGAAACGGCUGGUCACCUGGAAGACAAGGUGAGAGUCUUUGUGUGAAUCCCAGCGGGGAAAGAACGUCACGGGGACGUUUGAGGACAAACCGCCGUCACCAGCCUCAACAAACACUGAAUACUUCUCAAGCUGAAAGAUUAAACAAAUCUGCACAUUGUUCCAUAAACGUUUUCUCACUCAGGAGGUCUCCGACUUUUCCUGACAACUUGGCCCAGACCUCAAACCGCCGUGUUAAACUUUAAUGACUCAUGUGAUGAAGACUUUGUCCCCAGAAGUGAGGAGAGUCACCACAGAGUGAUUUAUGUCCCCACAACAUGAGAACAAAUAAAAGCCCUCAGAGAGAGAUGUUUGUGAUCCUUCCCUUCAUGUCUUACACACACACACACACACACACACACACACACUGCUAGUGUAUCCCUAAAUGACUGCGAACUGCAGCCAACUCUUUGAGCUCUAAUUAUGAAGCCUGUGGGAGCAGCAGCUCUGAGCCAAUCACCAAACCCCUUGAGAGUCCGACUCCUCUACUUCCCGUCCCAGUGGGCAGCCCUGACUCAGGACUGGUCCCAGAACAGUUAUCUGGUCUUUUCUGCGUUUCCUAGAAGACUGCUGCACAAACAUUCCUGCUUGUCAUCUUCUGUCACAUGCUGGACUGGAAGGACAAGCUGAGCAGAACUACCAGAACUAACAGGGGAAUUCAAAACUUUACUGAGACUAGUGAGACUGCAGAGCAUCAUUCAAACACACUCAGAACCAAUCUGACUAAGAAACAUUAAACAGGUCCAAACCAAAGUUCCUCUGAAACCUUCAGUGCUUAACUUACCGGCCUGCUGGCCACAACAAACACACCUGAGACAUGCAGCAGAUGUUCAGAGAAGGUCUGCUUGAAGGCAGGAGAUAACAUUUUCUGUCUUAAACAGUUUUCAUGUU